CCUACGGGAGGCAGCAGUUGGGAAUAUUGGACAAUGGAGGAAACUCUGAUCCAGUGACGCCGCGUGAAGGAAGAAGGUCUUCGGAUUGUAAACUUAUUUUAUCAGGGAAGAAAAAAGUGACUGUACCAUCAGAAGAAGGACCGGCUAAUUCCGUGCCAGCAGCCGCGGUAAUACGGAAGGUCCGGGCGUUAUCCGGAUUUAUUGGGUUUAAAGGGAGCGUAGGCCGGCUUUUAAGUCAGCUGUGAAAGUCCGCGGCUCAACCGUGGAAUUGCAGUUGAAACUGGAGGCCUUGAGUGCACACAGGG
rnacentral:rRNA from 1 species